GAUGAACGCUGGCGGCGUGCCUAAUACAUGCAAGUCGAGCGAACAGACGAGGAGCUUGCUCCUCUGACGUUAGCGGCGGACGGGUGAGUAACACGUGGAUAACCUACCUAUAAGACUGGGAUAACUUCGGGAAACCGGAGCUAAUACCGGAUAAUAUAUUGAACCGCAUGGUUCAAUAGUGAAAGACGGUUUUGCUGUCACUUAUAGAUGGAUCCGCGCCGCAUUAGCUAGUUGGUAAGGUAACGGCUUACCAAGGCAACGAUGCGUAGCUGACCUGAGAGGGGGAGCGGCCACAGUGGAAGGGAGACAGGGCCCAGCCCCCUAGGGGAGGGAGCAGGAGGGAUUUUUCCGAAAGGGGCGAAGGCCUGAGGGGACACCGCCGCGUGAGAGAUAAAGGUCUUGGGAUCGUAAAACUCUUUUAUGGGGAAAAAAAAAAUGUGUAAUUAACAAUGCACUUCUUGACGGUCCUUAAACAAAAAGCCACGGCUAACUCCGUG
rnacentral:rRNA from 1 species